rnacentral:ncRNA from 1 species
GUGCAAUUUGUUUGUAUUGAAGUAUAUAUGUGAAUAUAUAUAGAAGAAACAAAUGAGCCGAUCUUGGAGGCAGUAACAAUAUAUUUGUAUAGAUAUUAGACUAGGGUUUUCAAUUAUUAUUGAAGUGAAUCGGUGUUAUUUUAUAAAAACAAAAAAGAUUAAUAAUUCUUUAUUAAACUAUUUUAAGGCGACUUGAUGAUGACAGUAUAUUUAUUAAUCUAAGAUAAAUGAAUUAGACUAUUUAUUUAUUAACUAUGGAUUGUCAUGAUAAGAAAUAGUUAUUUAUAUAUACUUGAUAAAAAUAUUAUAGUUUUAACCGUACCUAUACCGCAUCAGGAGUCUUUGUAUCAUAACAAAUAUUUUAAAUUAAAGUAAGUAAGGGAAUUCGGCAAAUUAGAUCUGUAACUUUGGGAUAAAGAUUGGCUCUAGCAUGCUAGAACUUUUACUAUGUAAGGAAUCUGACUGUUUAUUAAAAACAUAGCUUUUUGUAAUUACAAGAAG